UACGGAGGAUGCAAGCGUUAUCCGGAAUGAUUGGGCGUAAAGGGUCCGCAGGUGGCAGUGUAAGUCUGCUGUCAAAGAAUGAGGCUUAACCUCAUCAAGGCAGUGGAAACUACACAGCUAGAGUACGGUCGGGGUAGAAGGAAUUCCUGGUGUAGCGGUGAAAUGCGUAGAGAUCAGGAAGAACACCGGUGGCGAAAGCGUUCUGCUAGACCUGUACUGACACUGAGGGACGAAAGCGUGGGGAGCAAACGGG
rnacentral:rRNA from 1 species